rnacentral:lncRNA from 1 species
CCUUCUGUAAUCGCAACCAGUUGUGCAAUCAUUCUAUAAAUAUUUGCUGAGAACUUGCUCUGAGAAGGCACAGGGCUGGGCCUCAGGAGCUAGAAAAAUGAGCUCCUUGUGUUCUCACUGUGUUCCGUGCCUAUGUGUUGUUACCUAUCCUCCCUGGAAUGUGUUUGUUCUAGGUGGAAUGCACACUCCCUCUUCUUGGGAAGAGAAGAUGCAACUGCUCAGAGAUGCCAUUAAUCCUAAAGUAGGAGGGGCUAGGAGCCCAGUGGAGGGGCAGCACGGUGAGCUGUAGGCACCCGGAGGAAGAGUUUCACAGCUUAGCAGAGCAAUGAAUGGCUGCGGCCUUCACUCAAGCUGCUCCCAGGUGAGCUCCCUUAAGAUUCGGAGGGUUUAAAUGUAGGCACGAAGGCUCUGCAGUGUGCAUUUGCUGGGUGGGGCAUGGAGGCUGCUGGGUGAUGGCAGAGAUCAGAGAGCCACUCUGUCAAGACAGCCCUCCAAGGAGGAGCAAGGAUCUCUGCCUCCAGCUUCUACUGAACCAUCUGGCCUAAAAUCUCUUUCCUUGAGAAUAUGAACAAGCUCUCCUUGAGAAAUGUCACGUCAUGGGCAGCACAGAGAACAUGGUCCUUCAAAUAUUCCUAUCCGGCCAUGCACCACGUGAUAAUGUUUUGUUCAAUGACAGACCACGUAUACACAUGGCGCCCUAAGGUUCUAUCACCUAUGAUGUGUAACCAUCUUGGUUUAUGCAAGUACACUCUGCAGGGCCUGCCCAGCAACCACCAAAUCACCUUAGACAUAUUUCUCGGGACAUACCCUGGCUUUAGACAAUGCCCAGCUGUACAUGUGCCGUGAAGGCCAGAGUACCUGCCUCACAUACUCGCCAGGACCGUGGUGAGAGAGAGACAGGAAAAGCCAAGCAAAGAUCUGCCUGCAAAUCAACACCAGAGACAAUGCCAAGCUGAAGGCUGAGGGGGUCACUACUCGGGGCCGAGCCCCUGGGGACGGUGGGGCCUCUUCGGAGCCUGGAGACCUCUAUGACAUCCACACCCCCCAGCCCAGCCCCGCCGGCUGCCCCAUUACAAGUCUGAAACCUACCGAAAUGCUCCUGCUGAGCCUCUUUUUAAUUAAGCACACACACAAAAAGAAGCACCCCUGGGUUUUGUCUGUUCUACUUUUGUUCCCGGGUCUGUUUGUACUUAUUCAGAAAUUACAUAAUUAAAAAAAUAAUAUUAAGUAAGUGGGCACAUCAGCCCGUCAAGCCGCCUGGGCCAACCUUCACCAGGGAAACACAGCGACAGCCCCUUCAAUUCUUCUCCUUGUUUUUAAGCACAAAAUAUGUCACACCUGGAAGUAAUUAGCAUAAUUUUUACUAAUUUAUAUCUAAUUACACAAUUACUUUUCUACGAA